UCCGGCGUCGCCCAACCGGUAGGGCAGCGGAUUGUUAAUCCGUUCGGGUGCAGGUUCGAAUCCUGCCGUCGGAGC
rnacentral:tRNA from 1 species